rnacentral:lncRNA from 1 species
CACAGAGAGAACCGAAAGACGCAAUAACACCCUAUAUAUAAACACAAACACACACAACACUCACCAUAGGCGUCUCAAACAGUAAGCCACCAAGAGCCAGAGCCUCCUGCCGCCACUGACUGACAGCCCAGAACACCCCUCGCCUCUCAACAUCCACACAAGAUGUGGCGCACCGUCCUACAAGUGUUAUUGGUGGUGGUGGUGAUGGCGGCCUCAGCCAGUGCCCUGCCCACAUAUUUCAAGGAACUUCCCAACAUCCAAUGUUAUGGUUUCGGGGCAGGAGCAAGUUAUGGUUUCGGGGCAGGAGCAAUACUACGCAAAUAAUAUGACCACACCACCACCACCACUUCACCAGUGCCGCCACCGCCACCACCACCACCACCACCAAGGACGACCUCUGCCCUCUUCCCUCCCUUUCCUCCGUCCCUUCUUUCUCUAAACCACGCUCUUAAACAUUGGAAGUAUUGGCAUUAGUUUUGUAACUCAUUUAUCCAGAAAAUCUCUCUCUCUCUCUCUCUCUCUCUCUCUCUCUCUCUCUCUCUCUCUCUCUCUCUCUCUCUCUCUCUCUCUGUAUAUCUGAUUAUUUUCGGAAUUAAAAUUUGGAAGAUCA